GGUCUGGUGGCCUAGUGGUUUGAGUCUCUGCCUGAAAUGUGGGAGGUCUUGGGUUCAAACAUCGACCAAAUCA